CCCUUAGAUGUUCUGGGCCGCACGCGCGCUACACUGUUCGACGCAGCGAGUCUUAACCUUGACCGAAAGGUUUGGGUAAUCUUCAGCAAAGUCGAACGUGAUGGGGAUCGAUCAUUGCAAUUAUUGAUCGUGAACGAGGAAUUCCUAGUAAGUGCAAGUCAUCAGCUUGCGCUGAUUACGUCCCUGCCCUUUGUACACACCGCCCGUCGCUACUACCGAUUGAAUGGUUUAGUGAGAUCUCUGGAUUGACGCUGGCUAGGGGGCGACCCUUGGCCAGACUGCUCGAGAAACUGCUCAAACUUGAUCAUUUAGAGGAAGUAAAGGUCGUAACA
rnacentral:rRNA from 1 species